rnacentral:rRNA from 1 species
UAAUACGGAGGGUGCAAGCGUUAAUCGGAAUUACUGGGCGUAAAGCGCACGCAGGCGGUUUGUUAAGUCAGAUGUGAAAUCCCCGGGCUCAACCUGGGAACUGCAUUUGAAACUGGCAAGCUAGAGUCUCGUAGAGGGGGGUAGGAAUUCCAGGUGUAGCGGUGAAAUGCGUAGAGAUCUGGAGGAAUACCGGUGGCGAAGGCGGCCCCCUCGGACGAAGACUGACGCUCAGGUGCGAAAGCGUGGGGAGCAAACAGGAUUAGAUACCCUGGUAGUCCACGCUGUAAACGAUGUCGAUUUGGAGGUUGUGCCCUUGAGGCGUGGCUUCCGGAGCUAACGCGUUAAAUCGACCGCCUGGGGAGUACGGCCGCAAGGUUA